rnacentral:rRNA from 1 species
AGAGUUUGAUCCUGGCUCAGAAUCAACGCUGGCGGCGUGCCUAACACAUGCAAGUCGAACGAGAAAGGGUAGCAAUACCUGAGUAAAGUGGCCCACGGGUGAGUAACACGUGACUAACCUACCCUGGAGUGGGGAAUAACUGAGGGAAACCUUAGCUAAUACCGCAUAACACCUACGGGUCAAAGGAGCAAUUCGCUUCAGGAGGGGGUCGCGGCCGAUUAGUUAGUUGGCGGGGUAAUGGCCCACCAAGACGAUGAUCGGUAUCCGGCCUGAGAGGGCGCACGGACACACUGGAACUGAAACACGGUCCAGACUCCUACGGGAGGCAGCAGUGGGGAAUUUUGCGCAAUGGGGGAAACCCUGACGCAGCAACGCCGCGUGGAGGAUGAAGUCCUUCGGGACGUAAACUCCUUUCGAUCGGGACGAUUAUGACGGUACCGGAAGAAGAAGCCCCGGCUAACUUCGUGCCAGCAGCCGCGGUAAUACGAGGGGGGCGAGCGUUGUUCGGAAUUAUUGGGCGUAAAGGGUGCGUAGGCGGUUUGGUAAGUCUGAUGUGAAAUCUAUGGGCUCAACUCAUAGUCUGCAUCGGAAACUGCCGGGCUUGAGUGUGGGAGAGGUGAGUGGAAUUCCUGGUGUAGCGGUGAAAUGCGUAGAUAUCAGGAGGAACACCUGUGGCGAAAGCGGCUCACUGACCAUAACU